rnacentral:tRNA from 1 species
GGAUCCUUAGCUCAGUUGGUCAGAGCAGCCGGCUCAUAACCGGUCGGCUUUGGGUUCGAGUCCCAGAGGAUCCA